GGAGUGAAAAAGAACCUGAAACCGUGUACGUACAAGCAGUGGGAGCACGCUUAGGCGUGUGACUGCGUACCUUUUGUAUAAUGGGUCAGCGACUUAUAUUCUGUAGCAAGGUUAACCGAAUAGGGGAGCCGAAGGGAAACCGAGUCUUAACUGGGCGUUAAGUUGCAGGGUAUAGACCCGAAACCCGGUGAUCUAGCCAUGGGCAGGUUGAAGGUUGGGUAACACUAACUGGAGGACCGAACCGACUAAUGUUGAAAAAUUAGCGGAUGACUUGUGGCUGGGGGUGAAAGGCCAAUCAAACCGGGAGAUAGCUGGUUCUCCCCGAAAGCUAUUUAGGUAGCGCCUCGUGAAUUCAUCUCCGGGGGUAGAGCACUGUUUCGGCAAGGGGGUCAUCCCGACUUACCAACCCGAUGCAAACUGCGAAUACCGGAGAAUGUUAUCACGGGAGACACACGGCGGGUGCUAACGUCCGUCGUGAAGAGGGAAACAACCCAGACCGCCAGCUAAGGUCCCAAAGUCAUGGUUAAGUGGGAAACGAUGUGGGAAGGCCCAGACAGCCAGGAUGUUGGCUUAGAAGCAGCCAUCAUUUAAAGAAAGCGUAAUAGCUCACUGGUCGAGUCGGCCUGCGCGGAAGAUGUAACGGGGCUAAACCAUG
rnacentral:rRNA from 1 species